rnacentral:tRNA from 1 species
GGUGGGAUCGCAUAGCGGUCUAGUGCGCCUGCUUGGAAAGUAGGUAUACCCGCAAGGGUAUCCAGGGUUCGAAUCCCUGUCCCACCG